rnacentral:rRNA from 1 species
GAUGAACGCUGGCGGCGUGCCUAAUACAUGCCAGUCGAGCGAACAGACGAGGAGCUUGCUCCUUUGACGUUAGCGGCGGACGGGUGAGUAACACGUGGGUAACCUACCUAUAAGACUGGGAUAACUUCGGGAAACCGGAGCUAAUACCGGAUAAUAUUUCGAACCGCAUGGUUCGAUAGUGAAAGAUGGCUCUGCUAUCACUUAUAGAUGGACCUGCGCCGUAUUAGCUAGUUGGUAAGGUAACGGCUUACCAAGGCAACGAUACGUAGCCGACCUGAGAGGGUGAUCGGCCACACUGGAACUGAGACACGGUCCAGACUCCUACGGGAGGCAGCAGUAGGGAAUCUUCCGCAAUGGGCGAAAGCCUGACGGAGCAACGCCGCGUGAGUGAUGAAGGUCUUCGGAUCGUAAAACUCUGUUAUUAGGGAAGAACAAACGUGUAAGUAACUGUGCACGUCCUGACGGUACCUAAUCAGAAAGCCACGGCUAACUACGUG